rnacentral:rRNA from 1 species
AUUGAACGCUGGCGGCAGGCCUAACACAUGCAAGUCGAGCGAGCGGCGGACGGGUGAGUAAUGUCUGGGAAACUGCCUGAUGGAGGGGGAUAACUACUGGAAACGGUAGCUAAUACCGCAUACCAUCAGAUGUGCCCAGAUGGGAUUAGCUAGUAGGUGGGGUAAUGGCUCACCUAGGCGACGAUCCAUAGCUGGUCUGAGAGGAUGACCAGCCACACUGGAAAGGAGAAACGGUCCAGACUCCGACGGGAGGCAGCAGGGGGGAAUAUUGCACAAUGGGAGCAAGCCUGAUGCAGCCAUGCCGCGUGUGUGAAGAAGGCCUUCGGGUUGUAAAGCACUUUCAGCGAGGAGGCGUUACUCGCAGAAGAAGCACCGGCUAACUCCGUGCCAGCAGCCGCGGUAAUUC